rnacentral:rRNA from 1 species
CAGCAGCCGCGGUAAUACGGAGGGAGCUAGCGUUGUUCGGAAUUACUGGGCGUAAAGCGCACGUAGGCGGCUUUGUAAGUCAGAGGUGAAAGCCUGGAGCUCAACUCCAGAACUGCCUUUGAGACUGCAUCGCUUGAAUCCAGGAGAGGUGAGUGGAAUUCCGAGUGUAGAGGUGAAAUUCGUAGAUAUUCGGAAGAACACCAGUGGCGAAGGCGGCUCACUGGACUGGUAUUGACGCUGAGGUGCGAAAGCGUGGGGAGCAAACAGGAUUAGAUACCCCAGUAGUCCCUGUCUCUUAUAC